GAGAAACUCAGCAGGAUGGCACGUAUUUCAAAUGAGAAAUAACUUUCAAAAGCAAAGUUGACCUCUUAGAGGAUGAUUACAUUAAGGAGGUAGCAGUUUUCCUGAUGGCUCAGACGGUAAAGAAUCCACCUGCAAUGUGGGAGACCAGGAUUUGAUAUCUGGGAUGGGAAGAUUCCCUGGAGGAGGGCAGCUUAACUCCUCUUCCACGCGAUACUGGAAGCAAAACAGGCAGGAGUGGCGGGCGAUCCGGAGUGGACAGAAGAGGGUUCCAGGAAAACAAAAACAUCUCCCUCCACAAUAGACACCUGCAUAGAGCCACCUGCAUUCUCCACUGGUCUCCAGACAAUUGCUGGGAGCUGCUGAGGCGAAUGAGUACUCAGGGGAGAUCCCUCUUAUCCUCCAGCAGAAAUGCUCUGGACUCAGGGAAGAAACAAAGCAAGAAAGCUGACUUCACCGAGAAGAAUGAGAGAACAAACCCAGAUCUGGACUCGGCUCUAUUUCCCACCAGGUGGGAAAUUGCACAAUUUAUUUUUAUGCUUAAACCUGCAAAAAAUUUAAAAAGGAAAAAAAAAAAAAAAACCUGUUUUAUUCAAAAGACCGGUUGCUUGCUUGGUUAAUACAAUAGUGAUUCAUGUUGAAAACCCAGUUAUAGAACUGCCUACAUGUAGUGGGGCUACAAGCUGCUCCUUUAGCUUUUGUUGUUGUUGCUGUUAUAGCUGCCAGGCACAGGAAGUUGCAUUUUACUCCUGUUUCCAAAUAUACCUAAUGUCAAAAUCUAAA